AAUUGGAGACUGCUAGUUUGUGUUGCAAAUUUAUGGUUUUGAAUUGAAUGGCUUAUGAUAAUAAAUGAGCAUGAAUGGCUAAACUGAUUUUGGUGUUAGAAUUAUUUAUAUUGUGUAUUCAGCCUUGAGAGGCUAGGUUACGAUAAAUUGCCAUGUCAUGCUAGAAUGAAUUUUAUUGAUUGGUGGAUUAUAUAUUAAUUAUUUACUGAAGAAGGGGUUCCGUGGACCAGCCUAUUAGAGGGGCACGGUAAACUCCAUUAUAUUAUUACCUCGAACAGAGAGGCGCGUAGGGUAUCUUCUGGGGUAAAGCUUAGGGUUCACUUCACGCCAAACCACCACGUGAAGGGGAACUCAGCCAACGCCAAGGAACGGCUGUAUUUUUUUCAAACUAAAAAUAUAUUUU
rnacentral:lncRNA from 1 species